GUGGAUAAUGAUGUCAACACUUUGCAUGGCGGGGUAAUGUAUUAGUGGGAUGAUUUAGUGGAUGUUGAUGUAGACGCUUUAUAUGGCAAUAGAGUUAGUUAGUGGGAUGCUCUAGUGGAUGAUGAUGUGGAUGCUUUGCAUGUCAAAAAAAUUAGCUAGUGGGGUUUAUCUAUAUAAGAGAUAAUAUUUUAGUAGGGGCUUUCACCCCUCGAGUUCCUUAAAAAAAAAGCAGUUGC
rnacentral:lncRNA from 1 species